rnacentral:rRNA from 1 species
GAUGAACGCUGGCGGCGUGCCUAAUACAUGCAAGUCGAGCGAACAGACGAGGAGCUUGCUCCUCUGACGUUAGCGGCGGACGGGUGAGUAACACGUGGAUAACCUACCUAUAAGACUGGGAUAACUUCGGGAAACCGGAGCUAAUACCGGAUAAUAUAUUUAACCGUAUGGUUCAAUAGUGAAAGACGGUUUUGCUGUCACUUAUAGAUGGAUCCGCGCCGCAUUAGCUAGUUGGUAAGGUAACGGCUUACCAAGGCAACGAAGCGUAGCCGACCUGAGAGGGUGAUCGGCAACACUGGAACUGAGACACGGUCCAGACUCCUACGGGAGGCAGCAGUAGGGAAUCUUCCGCAAUGGGCGAAAGCCUGACGGAGCAACGCCGCGUGAUUGAUGAAGGUCUUCGGAUCGUAAAACUCUGUUAUUAGGGAAGAACAAAUGUGUAAGUAACUAUGCACGUCUUGACGGUACCUAAUCAGAAAGCCACGGCUAACUACGUG